rnacentral:rRNA from 1 species
AUGAACGCUAGCUACAGGCUUAACACAUGCAAGUCGAGGGGCAUCAGGAAGAAAGCUUGCUUUCUUUGCUGGCGACCGGCGCACGGGUGAGUAACACGUAUCCAACCUGCCCUUUACUCGGGGAUAGCCUUUCGAAAGAAAGAUUAAUACCCGAUGGCAUAAUGAUUCCGCAUGGUUUCAUUAUUAAAGGAUUCCGGUAAAGGAUGGGGAUGCGUUCCAUUAGGUUGUUGGUGAGGUAACGGCUCACCAAGCCUUCGAUGGAUAGGGGUUCUGAGAGGAAGGUCCCCCACAUUGGAACUGAGACACGGUCCAAACUCCUACGGGAGGCAGCAGUGAGGAAUAUUGGUCAAUGGGCGCUAGCCUGAACCAGCCAAGUAGCGUGAAGGAUGAAGGCUCUAUGGGUCGUAAACUUCUUUUAUAUAAGAAUAAAGUGCAGUAUGUAUACUGUUUUGUAUGUAUUAUAUGAAUAAGGAUCGGCUAACUCCGUGCCAGCAGCCGCGGUAAUACGGAGGAUCCGAGCGUUAUCCGGAUUUAUUGGGUUUAAAGGGAGCGUAGGUGGACUGGUAAGUCAGUUGUGAAAGUUUGCGGCUCAACCGUAAAAUUGCAGUUGAUACUGUCAGUCUUGAGUACAGUAGAGGUGGGCGGAAUUCGUGGUGUAGCGGUGAAAUGCUUAGAUAUCACGAAGAACUCCGAUUGCGAAGGCAGCUCACUGGACUGCAACUGACACUGAUGCUCGAAAGUGUGGGUAUCAAACAGGAUUAGAUACCCUGGUAGCCCACACAGUAAAACGAUGAAUACUCGCUGUUUGCGAUAUACAGUAAGCGGCCAAGCGAAAGCAUUAAGUAUUCCACCUGGGGAGUACGCCGGCAACGGUGAAACUCAAAGGAAUUGACGGGGGCCCGCACAAGCGGAGGAACAUGUGGUUUAAUUCGAUGAUACGCGAGGAACCUUACCCGGGCUUAAAUUGCAGUGGAAUGAUGUGGAAACAUGUCAGUGAGCAAUCACCGCUGUGAAGGUGCUGCAUGGUUGUCGUCAGCUCGUGCCGUGAGGUGUCGGCUUAAGUGCCAUAACGAGCGCAACCCUUAUCUUUAGUUACUAACAGGUUAUGCUGAGGACUCUAGAGAGACUGCCGUCGUAAGAUGUGAGGAAGGUGGGGAUGACGUCAAAUCAGCACGGCCCUUACGUCCGGGGCUACACACGUGUUACAAUGGGGGGUACAGAAGGCAGCUAGCGGGUGACCGUAUGCUAAUCCCAAAAGCCUCUCUCAGUUCGGAUCGAAGUCUGCAACCCGACUUCGUGAAGCUGGAUUCGCUAGUAAUCGCGCAUCAGCCACGGCGCGGUGAAUACGUUCCCGGGCCUUGUACACACCGCCCGUCAAGCCAUGGGAGCCGGGGGUACCUGAAGUACGUAAAAGCAAGGAUCGUCCUAGGGUAAAACUGGUGACU